UGGCGGACGGGUGAGUAACGCGUGAGAAUCUGGCUCCAGGUCGGGGAUAACAGUUGGAAACGACUGCUAAUACCGGAUGUGCCGAAAGGUGAAAGAUUUAUUGCCUGGAGAUGAGCUCGCGUCUGAUUAGCUAGUUGGUGGUGUAAGGGACCACCAAGGCGUCGAUCAGUAGCUGGUCUGAGAGGAUGAUCAGCCACACUGGGACUGAGACACGGCCCAGACUCCUACGGGAGGCAGCAGUGGGGAAUUUUCCGCAAUGGGCGAAAGCCUGACGGAGCAAUACCGCGUGAGGGAGGAAGGCUCUUGGGUCGUAAACCUCUUUUCUCAAGGAAGAAGAAAGUGACGGUACUUGAGGAAUAAGCAUCGGCUAACUCCGUGCCAGCAGCCGCGGUAAUACGGAGGAUGCAAGCGUUAUCCGGAAUGAUUGGGCGUAAAGGGUCUGCAGGUGGAACUGAAAGUCUGCUGUUAAAGAGUUUGGCUUAACCAAAUAAAAGCGGUGGAAACUACAGAACUAGAGUGCGGUAGGGGCAAAAGGAAUUCCUGGUGUAGCGGUGAAAUGCGUAGAUAUCAGGAAGAACACCGGUGGCGAAAGCGUUUUGCUAGACCGUAACUGACACUGAGGGACGAAAGCUAGGGGAGCGAAUGGGAUUAGAUACCCCAGUAGUCCUAGCCGUAAACGAUGGAUACUAGGCGUGGCUUGUAUCGACCCGAGCCGUGCCGGAGCUAACGCGUUAAGUAUCCCGCCUGGGGAGUACGCACGCAAGUGUGAAACUCAAAGGAAUUGACGGGGGCCCGCACAAGCGGUGGAGUAUGUGGUUUAAUUCGAUGCAACGCGAAGAACCUUACCAAGACUUGACAUCCUGCGAAUCCUGGUGAAAGCUAGGAGUGCCUUAGGGAGCGCAGAGACAGGUGGUGCAUGGCUGUCGUCAGCUCGUGUCGUGAGAUGUUGGGUUAAGUCCCGCAACGAGCGCAACCCUCGUUUUUAGUUGCCAGCAUUAAGUUGGGCACUCUAGAGAGACUGCCGGUGACAAACCGGAGGAAGGUGAGGAUGACGUCAAGUCAGCAUGCCCCUUACGUCUUGGGCUACACACGUACUACAAUGCUACGGACAGAGGGCAGCGAGCCAGGGAUGGCAAGCGAAUCCAGAAACCGUAGCUCAGUUCAGAUCGAAGGCUGCAACUCGCCUUCGUGAAGGAGGAAUCGCUAGUAAUUGCAGGUCAGCAUACUGCAGUGAAUUCGUUCCCGGGCCUUGUACACACCGCCCGUCACACCAUGGAAGUUGGUCACGCCCGAAGUCAUUACCCCAACCGAAAGGAGGGGGAUGCCUAAGGUAGGACUGGUGACUGGGGUGAAGUCGU
rnacentral:rRNA from 1 species